rnacentral:rRNA from 1 species
GCACUUUAAGUUGGGAGGAAGGGCAGUAAGUUAAUACCUUGGCUGUUUUGACGUUACCAACAGAAUAAGCACCGGCUAACUUCGUGCCAGCAGCCGCGGUAAUACGAAGGGUGCAAGCGUUAAUCGGAAUUACUGGGCGUAAAGCGCGCGUAGGUGGUUCAGCAAGUUGGAUGUGAAAUCCCCGGGCUCAACCUGGGAACUGCAUCCAAAACUACUGAGCUAGAGUACGGUAGAGGGUGGUGGAAUUUCCUGUGUAGCGGUGAAAUGCGUAGAUAUAGGAAGGAACACCAGUGGCGAAGGCGACCACCUGGACUGAUACUGACACUGAGGUGCGAAAGCGUGGGGAGCAAACAGGAUUAGAUAGCCUGGUAGUCCACGCCGUAAACGAUGUCGACUAGCCGUUGGGAUCCUUGAGAUCUUAGUGGCGCAGCUAACGCGAUAAGUCGACCGC